rnacentral:rRNA from 1 species
GAACGCUGGCGGCGUGCUUAACACAUGCAAGUCGAACGAUGAUGCCCACUUGUGGGUGGAUUAGUGGCGAACGGGUGAGUAACACGUGAGUAACCUGCCCUUAACUCUGGGAUAAGCCUGGGAAACUGGGUCUAAUACCGGAUAUGACUCCUCAUCGCAUGGUGGGGGGUGGAAAGCUUUUUGUGGUUUUGGAUGGACUCGCGGCCUAUCAGCUUGUUGGUGAGGUAAUGGCUCACCAAGGCGACGACGGGUAGCCGGCCUGAGAGGGUGACCGGCCACACUGGGACUGAGACACGGCCCAGACUCCUACGGGAGGCAGCAGUGGGGAAUAUUGCACAAUGGGCGAAAGCCUGAUGCAGCGACGCCGCGUGAGGGAUGACGGCCUUCGGGUUGUAAACCUCUUUCAGUAGGGAAGAAGCGAAAGUGACGGUNCCUGCAGAAGAAGCGCCGGCUAACUACGUGCCAGCAGCCGCGGUAAUACGUAGGGCGCAAGCGUUAUCCGGAAUUAUUGGGCGUAAAGAGCUCGUAGGCGGUUUGUCGCCGUCUGCCGUGAAAGUCCGGGGCUCAACUCCGGAUCUGCGGUGGGUACGGGCAGACUAG